rnacentral:pre_miRNA from 1 species
CAUAUAAUAGUUUGUCGUCGUUAUGCCUGGCUCCCUGUAUGCCACGAGUGGAUACCGAUUUUGUUAUAAAAUCGGCUGCCGGUGGCGUACAAGGAGCCAAGCAUGACCAUAAGCAUAUG